CAGGGAGACAACACAAUGAUUUUGAUGCCUGAGUACUUUUAUUCUUAGGCCGAAAUCCUGUCACCUUAGGUCGAUCGGUACCUCAGCUUUGAAAUCAAGGAUUUGCAGCGAUGCAGGUUGCUUGAUGGAGAUUUUCAGUUCCUAAACUUUGUCUAGGUCACACCCCAAAAGGGAUGAGACUCCUGGGCCAUUAGCUCAGGUGGUUAGAGCGCACCCCUGAUAAGGGUGAGGUCCCUGGUUCAAGUCCAGGAUGGCCCAUUCGGUGUUGGGGGUUUAGCUCAGUUGGUAGAGCGCCUGCUUUGCAAGCAGGAUGUCAGGAGUUCGAGUCUCCUAACCUCCACUGACCGAACUUUGUCCCCAACUUCAAGGAUUGGAGUUGAGCUCGAAUGGUGUGUGAUUUAGAUGUGUCCGCUGGAAGACCCCAGCUUCCUGUCAUUCCAAGAGCAGAUGAUUGAAUCUGAUUUUGGUUGAUAAGAUGCUGGGCUCAAACUGAGCAAUCAGUUUGAAGUUCUAGCAGAACCUUGACAACUGCAUAGGUGAGUCUGGAAAGAAUAAAGCAUCUCAUGGAUGCAUCAUUCUUUUUUGGAUGAUGUUUGAUUCUUGAGCAAGAGCCGAGACUCCAUUACGUUCUUCUGAUUAUGUCGAGUAAUCAGGAGUUUGAUCUUUGAUUCAGCAAUGAAUCAGGGAGAAUCUGUUUCAACAACAGCAAGCGUAUUGGGGAUACAUU
rnacentral:tRNA from 1 species